AUACGGAGGGUGCAAGCGUUACUCGGAAUCACUGGGCGUAAAGCGCGCGCAGGCGGGCUGAUAAGUUGGAUGUGAAAGCCUACGGCUCAACCGUAGAACUGCAUCCAAAACUGUCAGUCUAGAGUGUGGGAGAGGAAGAUGGAAUUAGUUGUGUAGGGGUAAAAUCCGUAGAGAUAACUAGGAAUACCAAAAGCGAAGGCAAUCUUCUGGAACACUACUGACGCUGAGGCGCGAAGGCGUGGGGAGCGAACAGGAUUAGAAACCCCGGUAGUCC
rnacentral:rRNA from 1 species